UACGUAGGGUGCAAGCGUUAAUCGGAAUUACUGGGCGUAAAGCGUGCGCAGGCGGUUCGCUAAGACAGAUGUGAAAUCCCCGGGCUAACCUGGGAACUGCAUUUGUGACUGGCGGGCUAGAGUAUGGCAGAGGGGGGUAGAAUUCCGACGUGUAGCAGUGAAAUGCGUAGAGAUGUGGAGGAAUACCGAUGGCGAAGGCAGCCCCCUGGGCCCAAUACUGACGCUCAUGCACGAAAGCGUGGGGAGCAAACAGG
rnacentral:rRNA from 1 species